ACAAAUAUAGAAGGUCUUCAAGACCUCUCUAACAUUUUGUGAAUCGUUUAUCGUCUCUGGCGAGCUUACACUCGCCGAUUAAACUAUGUAUUAAGCUUUUGUCUAAAAUAUUUUUUUAUUAAAUUAAGAAA
rnacentral:misc_RNA from 1 species